rnacentral:tRNA from 1 species
GCCUGGGUAGCUCAGUCAGUUGAGCAUCCGACUUUGGCUCAGGUCAUGAUCUCACAGUUCGUGGGUUCCAGCCCUACUUUGGGCU